CAGCAGCCGCGGGAAUACGGAGGGUGCAAGCGUUAAUCGGAAUUACUGGGCGUAAAGCGCACGCAGGCGGUCUGACAAGUCAGAUGUGAAAUCCCCGGGCUUAACCUGGGAACUGCAUUUGAAACUGUCAGGCUGGAGUCUUGUAGAGGGGGGUAGAAUUCCAGGUGUAGCGGUGAAAUGCGUAGAGAUCUGGAGGAAUACCGGUGGCGAAGGCGGCCCCCUGGACAAAGACUGACGCUCAGGUGCGAAAGCGUGGGGAGCAAACAGGAUUAGAUACCCCUGUAGUCCCUGUCUAUUAUAC
rnacentral:rRNA from 1 species